rnacentral:rRNA from 1 species
CACGAACCGUACGAACGUUAUUCGGAAUUACUGGGCUUAAAGAGUUCGUAGGCGGCUUGGUAAGUCGGGUGUGAAAUCCCUCAGCUCAACUGAGGAACUGCGCCCGAUACUGUCAAGCUUGAGGGAGAUAGGGGUGAGCGGAACUGAUGGUGGAGCGGUGAAAUGCGUUGAUAUCAUCAGGAACACCGGUGGCGAAAGCGGCUCACUGGGUCUCUUCUGACGCUGAGGAACGAAAGCUAGGGGAGCGAACGGG